rnacentral:rRNA from 1 species
GACGAACGCUGGCGGCGUGCUUAACACAUGCAAGUCGAACGGAAAGGCCCUGCUUUUGUGGGGUGCUCGAGUGGCGAACGGGUGAGUAACACGUGAGUAACCUGCCCUUGACUUUGGGAUAACUUCAGGAAACUGGGGCUAAUACCGGAUAGGAGCUCCUGCUGCAUGGUGGGGGUUGGAAAGUUUCGGCGGUUGGGGAUGGACUCGCGGCUUAUCAGCUUGUUGGUGGGGUAGUGGCUUACCAAGGCUUUGACGGGUAGCCGGCCUGAGAGGGUGACCGGCCACAUUGGGACUGGGAUACGGCCCAGACUCCUAGGGGAGGCAGCAGGGGGGAAUAUUGCACGAGGGGCGGAAGCCUGAUGCAGCAACGCCGCGUGCGGGAGGACGGCCUUCGGGUUGUAAACCGCUUUCGCCUGUGACGAAGCGUGAGUGACGGUAAUGGGUAAAGAAGCACCGGCUAACUACGUG